AACGCAUCUUGCGCUCCUUGGCAUUCCGAGGAGCAUGCCUGUUUGAGUGUCAUGGUAUUCUCAAUUCUCUUGGUUUCUGCCAAGAUGAUAUUGGACUUGGAGGCUAUUGCUGGCAUCGUUUCAGAAGCCAGCUCCUCUUAAAUGAAUCAGUGUGAACAUUCACUUCAUACUUGGUGUGAUAAUUAUCUGCACUAUGUCUGAGUGAUAGAGUUUCAUGCUUCGAAUCGUCGCGAGACACUAUUUUGACUUCUGACCUCAAAUCAGGUAGGAUUACCCGCUGAACUUAA
rnacentral:misc_RNA from 2 species